AGGUUCUUCAUUAAUUUAGACAACUUAAGGGUAUCCUGAGGAGAUGAGAUCAGGACCUUCAGAUUACGAGACUCACGCCCUGCUGGCUGCGCUAAGAGGGCUCCUGAGGAGAUGAGAUCAAACAUAGGAAGAAAAAUGGAGUCUCCAAGAUGUCCACAUUUGAAUCUCUGGAACCUGUGAAUAUGUUACUUUAUAUGGCAAAAGGAACUUUGCAGGUGUGAGAAAAGUUGAGGACCUUGAGAUGGGGAGAUCAUCCUGGAUUAUUUGAAUAAGCCCAAAUUCAUCAAAUGAAUUCUUAAAAGAACCUUUCCUCUGAGAUGAGAGUCUGAGGGAGAUGUGGCUAUGGAAGAAUGGUCAGAGAGCAAUGCAAAGCUGCUGGCUGUGAAGAUGGAAGAAGGGGCCAUAAGCCAAGAAAUAUGGUUGGUUUCUAGGAGCUGGAAGAGGCAAGAAGACAUAUUCUCCUCUAGACCCUCCAGAAGAAAUGCAGCCUCACUGACACCUUAAUUUUAGCCCUGAAAGACCCAUUUCAGAACUCUGACCUACAGAACUGUAAGAUUGUAAGUUUGUAGUGUUUUAAGCCACUAAAUUUAUGGUAAUUUAUUAUAGCAGUAACAGAAAAUCAAUAUAUGCUUUAUGCAGGUAGUACUAAAUUACAUAUUGCAGGUUUAUGUUUGUUUGAGGACAGCUCUUUCUUUAUUUUUAGAGAUAGCACCUUGCUCUGUCACCAGGCCGGAGUGCAGCAGUGUGUUGAUAGCUCACUGGAACCUCAAAUUCCUGGGCUUAAUCCAUCUUCCCAC
rnacentral:lncRNA from 1 species